AAUCCAUCCUUCACAUUAUAGCCAGGAUGGGCUUUUCAUUGAAGGUAUGAAUUUUACUCCACAUUGCCAUGGCAUAGACAUCAUAUUCCUUUAUUCUUCUCUUUUCUGAGGUGGGGAAGGCAUAAGGAGUGCUAAUUAAUAAAUUGUCUUCUGGCCGGGUGUAGUGGCUCACGCCUGUAAUCCCAGGACUUUGGGAGGUUGAGAUGGGCGGAUCACCUGAGGUCAGGAGUUUAAGACCAGCCUGAACAAAAUGGCAAAACCCCGUCUCUACUAAAAAUACAAAAAUUAGGCCGGGCGCGGUAGCUCACGCCUGUAAUCCCAGCGUUUUGGGAGGCUGAGGCGGGCGGAUCACCUGAGGUCAGGAGUUGGAGACCAGCCUGAUCAACAUGGAGAAACCCUGUCUCUACUAAAAAUACAAAAUUAGCCAGGCAUGGUGGAGGGUGCCUGUAAUCCCAGCUACUCAGGAGGCUGAGGCAGGAGAAUCGCUUGAACCCGGGAGGCAGAGGUUGCUGUGAGCCGAAAGUGUGCCAUUGCACUCCAGCCUGGGCAACGAAAGAGAAACUCCGUCUCAAAAAAAAAAUUAAAAAAAAAAAUUAGCUGGGUGUGGUGGCACUUUCCUGUAGCUACUUGGGAGGCUGAGGCAGGAGAAUCCUUGAACCUGGGAGGUGGAGGUUGCAGCCAGCCAAGAUCAUGCCACUGCCCUCCAGGCUGGGUGACAGAGCAAGACUCCGUCUCAGACAAACAGACAAACAAACAAAAAAAGUGUUGUCUUCCAACUCGCCUUGUUUGUUAUGGUCUGAAUGUUAAUGUUCCCCCAAAUUCAUGUGUUGAAAUCUUAACUCCCAAGGUGAUGGUAUAAGAAUUGUGGUCUUUGGGAGGUUUAGGAGGAUUAGGUCAUGAGAGCAGAGCCCUCACGAUUGAGAUUAGUGCCCUUAUGAAAGAGCCUGAGAGAGACCCCUUGCCCCUUCUGCUAUGUGAGAACACAGCAAGAAGCGCCCUCUAUGAGGAACAGGCCCUCACCAGACACUGAUGCUGCUGGAGUUUUGAUCUUGGACUUCCCAGCCUCCAAAACUGAGGUGGCCGGGGAGGCCGAGGCGCAGAGAAUC
rnacentral:lncRNA from 10 species